rnacentral:rRNA from 1 species
AUUGAACGCUGGCGGCAUGCUUUACACAUGCAAGUCGAACGGUAACAGGCCGCAGGGUGCUGACGAGCGGCGAACGGGUGAGUAAUGCAUCGGAACGUGCCCAGUCGUGGGGGAUAACGCAGCGAAAGCUGCGCUAAUACCGCAUACGAUCUAUGGAUGAAAGCGGGGGACCGUAAGGCCUCGCGCGAUUGGAGCGGCCGAUGUCAGAUUAGGUAGUUGGUGGGGUAAAGGCUCACCAAGCCAACGAUCUGUAGCUGGUCUGAGAGGACGACCAGCCACACUGGGACUGAGACACGGCCCAGACUCCUACGGGAGGCAGCAGUGGGGAAUUUUGGACAAUGGGCGCAAGCCUGAUCCAGCAAUGCCGCGUGCAGGAAGAAGGCCUUCGGGUUGUAAACUGCUUUUGUACGGAACGAAACGGUCCUGGUUAAUACCUGGGGCUAAUGACGGUACCGUAAGAAUAAGCACCGGCUAACUACGUGCCAGCCGCCGCCGUAAGAC